rnacentral:rRNA from 1 species
UACGUAGGGUGCGAGCGUUGUCCGGAAUUAUUGGGCGUAAAGAGCUCGUAGGCGGUUUGUCGCGUCGGGAGUGAAAACUCAGGGCUUAACCCUGAGCCUGCUUCCGAUACGGGCAGACUAGAGGUAUGCAGGGGAGAACGGAAUUCCUGGUGUAGCGGUGAAAUGCGCAGAUAUCAGGAGGAACACCGGUGGCGAAGGCGGUUCUCUGGGCAUUACCUGACGCUGAGGAGCGAAAGUGUGGGGAGCGAACAGG